UGGGGAAUCUUGGACAAUGGGCGCAAGCCUGAUCCAGCCAUGCCGCGUGAGUGAUGAAGGCCUUAGGGUUGUAAAACUCUUUCGCCGAGGACGAUAAUGACGGUACUCGGAGAAGAAGCUCCGGCUAACUUCGUGCCAGCAGCCGCGGUAAUACGAAGGGGGCUAGCGUUGUUCGGAUUUACUGGGCGUAAAGCGCGUGUAGGCGGGUCGUUAAGUUGGGGGUGAAAUCCCGAGGCUCAACCUCGGAACUGCCUCCAAAACUGGCGACCUGGACCUAAGUAGAGGCAAGUGGAAUUGCGAGUGUAGAGGUGAAAUUCGUAGAUAUUCGCAGGAACACCAGUGGCGAAGGCGACUUGCUGGACUUAUGGUGACGCUGAGACGCGAAAGCGUGGGAGCAAACAGGAUUAGAUACCCGUGUAGUCCCUGAGCGGGCUGGCAAGGCGCAU
rnacentral:rRNA from 1 species